rnacentral:rRNA from 1 species
UGUAGCCUACGGGACGCAGCAGUGGGGGAUAUUGCACAAUGGGGGGAACCCUGAUGCAGCGACGCCGCGUGGGUGAAGGAGCGUUUCGGCGCGUAAAGCCCUAUCGGCAGGGAAGAAGAUGACGGUACCUGACCAAGAAGCCCCGGCUAACUACGUGCCAGCAGCCGCGGUAAUACGUAGGGGGCAAGCGUUAUCCGGAUUUACUGGGUGUAAAGGGGGCGCAGACGGCAAUGCAAGCCAGGAGUGAAAGCCCGGGGCCCCACCCCGGGACUGCUCUUGGGACUGCAUGGCUGGGGUACAGGAGG